UACGGAGGAUGCAAGCGUUAUCCGGAAUGAUUGGGCGUAAAGCGUCCGCAGGUGGUGGUGUGUGUCUAUUGUCAAAGCGUGAUGCUUAACAUGAUAUAGGCAGUAGAAACUACACAACUAGAGUGCGUUCGGGGUAGAGGGAAUUCCUAGUGUAGCGGUGAAAUGCGUAGAGAUCAGGAAGAACACCGGUGGCGAAAGCGCUCUACUAGGCCGCAACUGACACUGAUGGACGAAAGCUAGGGGAGCGAAAGGG
rnacentral:rRNA from 1 species